rnacentral:lncRNA from 1 species
AUGCUUCACCAGUUGUGGAUGGCUGGUGGGGAUGCCUCUGCAUUAAUCCUUGCUGGACGAAGUACAAGCAACACUCUUGAGAAGACUUUGAAAGAAAAGGAUCACAGAUUCCUCCUCUGGAUGUGUCAUCUGAAUGCUUUGAGGAACUGGUAUGCAGAGAGAAGCAGUAUGGUAUUCCCCUCACUCAGCAAACCAGAAGCAGGCAGGUCUCCCCUGAAUGCCGAUGAUGGUCAGAGCGAGUGUGUUUCCUGCUUGGGGAAAUCCCACAUGGAAGCCGCGCUGACAGGGACGGACCAUUCUCAUUGCAAGAACUUCAGUCUCACUUCUCUACACUCAUGGAUGACUUUCUUUUCAGAGAGGGACUCCACCCCUCUCGCCCUCCCAUUUACUUCCUUCCAGGAACCUGUGAGGAAAAAACUGCAGGAAAGAGGACUCCAGUGCUCGGUUGUGAGCGAGCUCAUACAGCAUAAUAUUGUGUUAUUUUCCGAAGCAAUGAUAUUUUAUUAUACUAUUUGGUAUAAUAAUAAAAUAUAUUUUUUUACAGCCCAGUCGAUGGUGGUGUUGAGUUGUUUUUUUUUCUGUUGAGGUCAGCUGGGUCAUCUUCUGCAUGUAGUAAGUUAGUAAAGC